rnacentral:rRNA from 1 species
GACGAACGCUGGCGGCGUGCCUAAUACAUGCAAGUUGAGCGAUGAAGAUUGGUGCUUGCACCAAUUUGAAGAGCAGCGAACGGGUGAGUAACGCGUGGGGAAUCUGCCUUUGAGCGGGGGACAACAUUUGGAAACGAAUGCUAAUACCGCAUAACAACUUUAAACAUAAGUUUUAAGUUUGAAAGAUGCAAUUGCAUCACUCAAAGAUGAUCCCGCGUUGUAUUAGCUAGUUGGUGAGGUAAAGGCUCACCAAGGCGAUGAUACAUAGCCGACCUGAGAGGGUGAUCGGCCACAUUGGGACUGAGACACGGCCCAAACUCCUACGGGAGGCAGCAGUAGGGAAUCUUCGGCAAUGGACGAAAGUCUGACCGAGCAACGCCGCGUGAGGGAAGAAGGGUUUCGGAUCGUAAAACUCUGUUGGUAGAGAAGAACGUUGGUGAGAGUGGAAAGCUCAUCAAGUGACGGUAACUACCCAGAAAGGGACGGCUAACUACGUG